rnacentral:rRNA from 1 species
AUUGAACGCUGGCGGCAUGCCUUACACAUGCAAGUAGAACGGCAGCACGGGUGCUUGCACCUGGUGGCGAGUGGCGAACGGGUGAGUAAUACAUCGGAACGUACCUUAUCGUGGGGGAUAACGCAGCGAAAGUUGCGCUAAUACCGCAUACGCCCUGAGGGGGAAAGCGGGGGACCGGAAGGCCUCGCGCGAUUAGAGCGGCCGAUGUCUGAUUAGCUUGUUGGUGAGGUAAAAGCUCACCAAGGCGAUGAUCAGUAGCUGGUCUGAGAGGACGAUCAGCCGGACUGGGGCUGAGACACGGCCCAGACUCCUACGGGAGGCAGCAGUGGGGAAUUUUGGACAAUGGGGGCAACCCUGAUCCAGCAAUGCCGCGUGAGUGAAGAAGGCCUUCGGGUUGUAAAGCUCUGUUGUCAGGGAAGAAACAGCAGCUCUAACACAGUCUGCGAAUGACGGUACCUGAAGAAUAAGCACCGGCUAACUACGUGCCAGCCGCCGCGGUAA